CCUACGGGAGGCUGCAGUGAGGAAUAUUGGUCAAUGGACGAGAGUCUGAACCAGCCAAGUAGCGUGAAGGAUGACUGCCCUAUGGGUUGUAAACUUCUUUUAUAAAGGAAUAAAACGAGGCACGUGUGCCUUUUUGCAUGUACUUUAUGAAUAAGGAUCGGCUAACUCCGUGCCAGCAGCCGCGGUAAUACGGAGGAUCCGAGCGUUAUCCGGAUUUAUUGGGUUUAAAGGGAGCGUAGAUGGGUUGUUAAGUCAGUUGUGAAAGUUUGCGGCUCAACCGUAAAAUUGCAAUUGAUACUGGCAGUCGUGAGUACAGUUGAGGUAGGCGGAAUUCGUGGUGUAGCGGUGAAAUGCUUAGAUAUCACGAAGAACCCCGAGUGCGAAGGCAGCUUACUAAACUGUGACUGACAUUGAUGUUCGAAAGUGUGGGUAUCAAACAGGAUUAGAUACCCUGGUAGUC
rnacentral:rRNA from 1 species